rnacentral:rRNA from 1 species
GAUGAACGCUAGCGGCAGGCUUAAUACAUGCAAGUCGAGGGGCAGCACGAAUAGCAAUAUUUGGUGGCGACCGGCGCACGGGUGCGUAACACGUAUACAAUCUACCUUAAACAGGGGGAUAGCCUUUCGAAAGAGAGAUUAAUACCCCGUAAUAAAUUGAAUGGCAUCAUUUGAUUUUGAAAGCUCCGGCGGUUUGAGAUGAGUAUGCGUCUGAUUAGCUAGUUGGUGAGGUAACGGCUCACCAAGGCGACGAUCAGUAGGGGAUCUGAGAGGACUAACCCCCACACUGGUACUGAGACACGGACCAGACUCCUACGGGAGGCAGCAGUAAGGAAUAUUGGUCAAUGGAGGCAACUCUGAACCAGCCAUGCCGCGUGCAGGAUGACGGCCCUAUGGGUUGUAAACUGCUUUUAUACAAGAGAAAACCCUGGUACGUGUACCAGGUUGAUAGUAUUGUAAGAAUAAGCAUCGGCUAACUUCGUGCCAGCAGCCG